UCUCCCCCUGUGUCAGAGGGCCUGUUUCUGAAGAAGUAGUAUCUACUAGCAAGCAUGCUUCAAUGCAAUAUUAUGUUGUAUCGAAAUAACACACUGAACUAGCGACACGCCUUGGCUUCAUCGGAGCGUAACUUAUUAAUGAUGAAAAUGAUAUGACAUAAAUAUAAUUAAUAAUCAAGCACUCAA